CACGUAGGGGGCGAGCGUUGUCCGGAUUCAUUGGGCGUAAAGAGCUCGUAGGCGGCUCAGUAAGUCGGGUGUGAAACCCUCAGGCUCAACCUGGGGACGCCACUCGAUACUGCUGUGGCUAGAGUCCAGUAGAGGAGUGUGGAAUUCCCGGUGUAGCGGUGAAAUGCGCAGAUAUCGGGAGGAACACCGGUGGCGAAGGCGGUUCUCUGGGCCUGUACUGACGCUGAGGAACGAAAGCGUGGGGAGCGAACAGGA
rnacentral:rRNA from 1 species